rnacentral:rRNA from 1 species
UUCCGUAGGUGAACCUGCGGAGGGAUCAUUACCGAGUUUACAACUCCCAAACCCUUAUGUGAACCUACCUAUCGUUGCUUCGGCGGACUCGCCCCAGCCGGACGCGGACUGGACCAGCGGCCGCCGGGGACCAUCAAACUCUUGUAUUAUCAGCAUCUUCUGAAUACGCCGCAAGGCAAAACAAAUAAAUUAAAACUUUCAACAACGGAUCUCUUGGCUCUGGCAUCGAUGAAGAACGCAGCGAAAUGCGAUAAGUAAUGUGAAUUGCAGAAUCCAGUGAAUCAUCGAAUCUUUGAACGCACAUUGCGCCCGCCAGCAUUCUGGCGGGCAUGCUUGUUCGAGCGUCAUUUCAACCCUCGACCUCCCUUUGGGGAAGUCGGCGUUGGGGACCGGCAGCACACCGCCGGCCCUGAAAUGGAGUGGCGGCCCGUCCGCGGCGACCUCUGCGUAGUAAACCAACUCGCACCGGAACCCCGACGUGGCCACGCCGUAAAACACCCAACUUCUGAACGUUGACCUCGAAUCAGGUAGGACUACCCGCUGAACUUAAGCAUAUCAAUAAGCGGAGGA